rnacentral:rRNA from 1 species
GUGAACCUGCGGAAGGAUCAUUACCGAGAGACGGGGUCGAACCGGCCCCACCUCUUCACCCGUGUAUACCUACCUCUGUUGCUUUGGCGAGCCUUCGGCGGUGUCGCCGGCGUCGGGCUUCGGGGCUUCGGCCUCUCGCUCGGCGAGUGUUCGCCAGAGGUUUUCCAAACUCUGUUAUCGGUGACGUCUGAGUAUGAUUCAAUCGUUAAAACUUUCAACAACGGAUCUCUUGGUUCUGGCAUCGAUGAAGAACGCAGCGAAAUGCGAUAAGUAAUGUGAAUUGCAGAAUUCAGUGAAUCAUCGAAUCUUUGAACGCACAUUGCGCCCCUUGGUACUCCGGGGGGCAUGCCUGUUCGAGCGUCAUUGCAACCCUCAAGCCCAGCUUGGUGUUGAGCCUCGCCCCCGCGGCGGGCUCGAAAUGCGGCGGCGGUCCGACGAGACUUUAAGCGUAGUAAGAUUCUUCAAUCCCGCUUCCGAAGCUUCUCGCCCGGGCCGGCCAACCCCCAAUCUCCACGAUUGACCUCGGAUCAGGUAGGGAUACCCGCUGAACUUAAGCAUA